UCGAGGAUCUUCCGCAAUGGGCGAAAGCCUGACGGAGCGACACCGCGUGCAGGACGAAGGCCCUCGGGUUGUAAACUGCUGUCACGCUCUAGGAAUGCCAUGUCGUUAAUAGCGGCAUGGUUGACCAAGGCGAAAGGAAGUGGCGGCUAACUCUGUGCCAGCAGCCGCGGUAAGACAGAGGCCACGAACGUUGUUCGGAAUCACUGGGCAUAAAGCGCACGUAGGCGGCUAGGUCCGUCCAAUGUGAAAGCCCCCGGCUCAACCGGGGAAUUGCAUCGGAUACAGCCUGGCUUGAGGACGGUUGGGGUGAGUGGAACUCCUGGUGGAGCGGUGAAAUGCGCAGAUAUUAGGAAGAACACCGGUGGCGAAGGCGGCUCUCUGGAACGAUACUGACACUGAGACGCGAAAGCGUGGGUAGCGAACAGGAUUAGAUACCCGAGUAGUCCCUGAGCGGGCUGGCAAGGCGCAU
rnacentral:rRNA from 1 species